UUAAAUAAUUGUGUUAAUGAAAGAGAAGUCUGCUUUAUUACUAUUUUCAUACCUUCAAUAAUAAAUUUUAGUAACAUAAUAUAUAUUCACAGUGCCUCCAAAGUCUUAGUGUGGUUUCAAACUAUUAAAACUGAAGACUACAUUAGACCAUUGGGGACAUCCUGCGGAGUACUUUUACAAAAUGGACCGACUCUAUGAGUGUGGGGAUCCCAAUUUGCAGAUAAGGAAACUGAGGCACGGAAGCAUUAAGAGACUUGCCCAAAUCACAAGGCUAGUAAAUAUGAGAGCCAAGACUAACUGUAUUGUCAGGAAGAUUGGAAGUCAUGGGAUUUUCUGCACAUACUCAGAAUGAUGUCCCACACCGCAUCCCUAGCUCCAUUAAGCCUAGUAAACUACCCCGUCUUCCUUUGGCCAACAUUACUCACCCUCACCAGGUUCGAGCUACCCAAUCCCCCUGAAAGCCCCAAUUGAUGCCGAAACUGAGGCUUCUGGACAAGUCCCUGUUUGGCUUGCAAAUGCAGGUUGCAGUUGAAAACAACACGUAAAGGAAAUGAAGCAAACCGCCCAGGGCCACAUGGAUCCUGGCUGCUUGUCGAUGCCGUUUCUGGCUUAACUACAGUCAGCAAUACAAUGACCCAGGACAAUUCUGAGGGACUUGUGACAAGGAAGACUCUCCACCUCCAGAGAAAGAACUGUGGGAGUCAGAAGCAGCCCCAGAAUCUGUCAGUGCAAUGCCUCCAGAGACAGGCUGGGGAGGCCCACUGCCUGACAGCUCUGCAUGGAAAGUUUCCAAGAAUUGAUUUGAAGAAAAUGUGA
rnacentral:lncRNA from 1 species